rnacentral:rRNA from 1 species
GAACGCUGGCGGCGUGCUUAACACAUGCAAGUCGAACGAAGCACUUUAUUAUGAUUUCUUCGGAAUGACGAUUUUGUGACUGAGUGGCGGACGGGUGAGUAACGCGUGGGUAACCUGCCUUGUACAGGGGGAUAACAGUUGGAAACGGCUGCUAAUACCGCAUAAGCGCACGGCAUCGCAUGAUGCAGUGUGAAAAACUCCGGUGGUAUAAGAUGGACCCGCGUUGGAUUAGCUAGUUGGUGAGGUAACGGCCCACCAAGGCGACGAUCCAUAGCCGACCUGAGAGGGUGACCGGCCACAUUGGGACUGAGACACGGCCCAAACUCCUACGGGAGGCAGCAGUGGGGAAUAUUGCACAAUGGGCGAAAGCCUGAUGCAGCGACGCCGCGUGAGCGAAGAAGUAUUUCGGUAUGUAAAGCUCUAUCAGCAGGGAAGAUAAUGACGGUACCUGACUAAGAAGCACCGGCUAAAUACGUG